GUCAAUGAUUAGCUGAGCUCUCUUUCCAAGAAUGCAGGGAUUCUGAAGCUGCCUGCUUGAGUUACUGUGCUCUCUUCCAAGGCUGUAGGAGUUCUGGAGCUGCUGGCUAGAGAGGAGGGUGGACCAAGCUCUCCCCAGAAAGACAUCCUGAGAGGACUUGGCAGGCCUGAAUAUGCAUUGGCUGCGAAAAGUUCAGGGACUUUGCACCCUGUGGGGUACUCAGAUGUCCAGCCGCACUCUCUACAUUAAUAGUAGGCAACUGGUGUCCCUGCAGUGGGGCCACCAGGAACUGCCGGCCAAGUUUAACUUUGCUAGUGAUGUGUUGGAUCACUGGGCUGACAUGGAGAAGGCUGGCAAGCGACCCCCAAGCCCAGCCCUGUGGUGGGUGAAUGGGAAGGGGAAGGAAUUAAUGUGGAAUUUCAGAGAACUGAGUGAAAACAGCCAGCAGGCAGCCAACGUCCUCUCGGGAGCCUGUGGCCUGCAGCGUGGGGAUCGUGUGGCAGUGGUGCUGCCCCGAGUGCCUGAGUGGUGGCUGGUGAUCCUGGGCUGCAUUCGAGCAGGUCUCAUCUUUAUGCCUGGAACCAUCCAAAUGAAAUCCACUGACAUACUGUAUAGGUUGCAGAUGUCUAAGGCCAAGGCUAUUGUUGCUGGGGAUGAAGUCAUCCAAGAAGUGGACACAGUGGCAUCUGAAUGUCCUUCUCUGAGAAUUAAGCUACUGGUGUCUGAGAAAAGCUGCGAUGGGUGGCUGAACUUCAAGAAACUGCUAAAUGAGGCAUCUACCACUCAUCACUGUGUAGAGACUGGAAGCCAGGAAGCAUCUGCCAUCUACUUCACUAGUGGGACCAGUGGUCUUCCCAAGAUGGCAGAACAUUCCCACUCAAGCCUGGGCCUCAAGGCCAAGAUGGAUGCUAGUUGGACAGGCCUGCAAGCCUCUGAUAUAAUGUGGACCAUAUCAGACACAGGUUGGAUACUGAACAUCUUGUGCUCACUUAUGGAACCUUGGGCAUUAGGAGCAUGCACAUUUGUUCAUCUCUUGCCAAAGUUUGACCCACUGGUUAUUCUAAAGACACUCUCCAGUUAUCCAAUCAAGAGUAUGAUGGGUGCCCCCAUUGUUUACCGGAUGUUGCUACAGCAGGAUCUUUCCAGUUACAAGUUCCUCCAUCUACAGAACUGCGUCACUGUAGGGGAGUCCCUUCUUCCAGAAACUCUGGAGAACUGGAGGGCCCAGACAGGACUGGACAUCCGAGAAUCCUAUGGCCAGACAGAAACGGGAUUAACUUGCAUGGUUUCCAAGACAAUGAAAAUCAAACCAGGAUACAUGGGAACGGCUGCUUCCUGUUAUGAUGUACAGAUCAUAGAUGAUAAGGGCAACGUCCUGCCCCCUGGCACAGAAGGAGACAUUGGCAUCAGGGUCAAACCCAUCAGGCCUAUAGGCAUCUUCUCUGGCUAUGUGGACAAUCCCGAGAAGACAGCAGCCAACAUUCGAGGAGACUUUUGGCUCCUUGGAGACCGGGGAAUCAAAGAUGAAGAUGGGUAUUUCCAGUUUAUGGGACGGGCAGAUGAUAUCAUUAACUCCAGCGGGUACCGGAUUGGACCCUCGGAGGUAGAGAAUGCACUGAUGGAGCACCCUGCUGUGGUUGAGACGGCUGUGAUCAGCAGUCCAGACCCCGUCCGAGGAGAGGUGAUGGGGAAGCAGUAGCCUGGGGGUGAACACAUAUGAACACAAGGGCAGUGUAGUAUGUUGAUUUAAGAAUAGGGACUGUGUGGCUGAACACUCUGAGACCCAAUCUUGGCCCUGCCACUUACUAGCUAUGUGACCUUGGGCAAGCUACUUGGCCUCUCUGUUUCUCAGUUUCCCCAUCUGUAAGAUGAGGGAUUGUUAUGAGGGUUAAAUGUGCUAAUAUUUGUAAAGUACUUAAGUAUGGUGAUUUCUCAAAAAACUAAACAGAACUGCCAUAUGAUCCAGCAAUCCCACUACUGGGUAUUUAUCCAAAGGAAAAGAAAUCAGCAUAUCAAGAAGAUGUCCACACUCCCAUGGUAAUUGCAGCACUAUUCACAAUACGAAGAUAUGGGAUCAACCUAAGUACCCAAUGGAUGAAAGGAUAAAUAAUAUGUGGUAUAUAUACACAAUGGAAUACUAUUUGGUGUUAAAAAAGAAUGAAAUCAUGUCAUCUGCAGCAACAUGGAGAGAACUGGAGGUCAUUAUGUUAAGUGAAGUAAGCCAGGCACAGAAAGAUAAAUAUCACAUGUUUGCACUCAUAAGUAAGAGCUAAAAUAGUUGAUCUCAUGGAGAUAAAGAGUAGAGUGAUAGAUACCAGAGGCUGGGAAGGGUGUGUGGGUGGGGAAGUGGGGGAUGAAGAGAGGUUGGUGAAUGGGUAUAAGCAUACAAUUACAUAAAAGCAAUAAAUUCGAAUGUUCAAUAGCAGAGUAGGGUGACUAUAGUUAACAACCAUGUAUUGUAUAUUUCAAAAUAGCUAGAAGAGAGGACUUGAAAUGUUCUCAACACACACAAAUUAUAAAUACUCAAGGUGAUGGACACCCCAAGUAUCCUAACUUGAUAAUUACAAUAUUUGCAUGUAACAAAAUAUACUCAUACCCAAUACAUAUGUACAAAUAUUAUGAAUCAAUAAAAAAUUUUAGAAAGUAAAGUGCUUGGUUGGGAGGCUGAGGCAGAUGGAUCACGAGGUCAGGAGUCCAAGACCAACCUGGCCAAGAUGGUGAAACCCCAUCUCUACUAAAAAUACAAAAAUUGGCCAGGCAUGGUGGCAGGCAUCUGUAAUCCCAGCUACUCAAGAGGCUGCGGCAGGAGAAUCACAUGAACCCGGGGGGCAGAGUUUGCAGUGAGCAGAGAUCGUGCCCCUGAACUCUAGCCUGGGUGACAGAGUGAGACUCUGUCUCAAAAAAAAAAAGAAAGAAAGAAAGAAAAAGAAAAAAAGAAAGUGAAGUGCUUGGAACAAGGCCUAGCACAUAGUGGUGAAGGCAUUUGUGGUCCUGGCCUCGCAGUUCCUGUCCCAUGACCCAGAACAGCUCACCAAGGAGCUGCAGCAGCAUGU